GAUGAACGCUGGCGGCGUGCCUAAUACAUGCAAGUCGAGCGAACAGACGAGGAGCUUGCUCCUCUGACGUUAGCGGCGGACGGGUGAGUAACACGUGGAUAACCUACCUAUAAGACUGGGAUAACUUCGGGAAACCGGAGCUAAUACCGGAUAAUAUAUUGAACCGCAUGGUUCAAUAGUGAAAGACGGUUUUGCGUUCACUUAUAGAUGGAUCCGCGCGGCAUUAGCUAGUUGGUAAGUUAACGGCUUACCAAGGCGACGAUGCGUAGCCGACCUGAGAGGGUGAUCGGCCACACUGGAACUGAGACACGGUCCAGACUCCUACGGGAGGCAGCAGUAGGGAAUCUUCCGCAAUGGGCGAAAGCCUGACGGAGCAACGCCGCGUGAGUGAUGAAGGUCUUCGGAUCGUAAAACUCUGUUAUUAGGGAAGAACAAAUGUGUAAGUAACUAUGCACGUCUUGACGGUACCUAAUCAGAAAGCCACGGCUAACUACGUG
rnacentral:rRNA from 1 species